GUCCUAAGUGGGCGAUGCGUGGUGUUUUUCUUCCAACUCGACUGCUGAGGGCAAAGGGGGUUUGGGAAUUGAGAGUUCUUGCCUCUCCACCUGGUGUCUCAGGGGUAUCUCUUCCCCCUCAACCGCCCUCAGGGCACCUCUUUCCCCUUAAUCUCUCACUUUAAGCCCCUCUCCUGUCCCUGGAGGAGGAGGAGCAGGCAGGGCAAGUCGGAACUGGAGGCCUGCCGCGUCCAGUUUCCGCAGGGAAAGUUUAAGCAGAAGUCCCAGCCUCUGGACUUCCUGUUCCUGUUCUCUGGUUCUGCUAGCUGCCGUCGCUAUGGAGGAACCAGAGAUGCAGCUCAAGGGGAAGAAAGGUGGGGCAGGGCCCCGGACCGGAUGGAGGGUCACGGACAAGUUCACUGAGAGCGUCUAUGUCCUGGCCAACGAGCCAUCUGUGGCCCUGUACCGGCUGCAGGAGCAUGUGCGCCGCUCUUUGCCUGAGCUGGCCCAGCACAAGGCGGACAUGCAGCGGUGGGAAGAGCAGAGCCAGGGAGCCAUUUACACUGUAGAGUACGCCUGCAGUGCCGUCAAGAACCUGGUUGACAGCAGUGUCUACUUCCGUAGCGUCGAAGGUCUGCUCAAACAGGCCAUCAGCAUCCGAGACCACAUGAAUGCCACUGCCCAGGGCCACAGCCCCGAGGAACUGCCCCCGCCCUCCUCAGCCUGAUCCUGGAAGAAUCCUGAAGGUCCCUGUCUUCCCCCAACCCAGGGCCUGGUGAUUGCUUUACAUACCCAUUUUCAGGCUGAGCCUUAUUGGGCCGAUAUCUACAGCUCUGAAUCCUUCCUGCACCACCUGCCUGCUGUUCCCUCCUUCCCUGGUCUUUAUUUAUUUAUUUUUUUUCAAGAAAGAAAGAGAGAAUUUUGAGUAUUUAUUUUUCAGUUUUUGGCAGACACAACAUCUUUGUUUGUAUGUGGUGCUGAGGACCAAACCCAGCGCCCCACGCAUGCCCGGCGAGCGCGCUACCGCCUGAGCCACCGCCCCAGCCCCCCUGGUCUUGUAUUUUUUUCCUUCUAUAAAGGUUACCUAUUAGGUGACUACAAGGGCACAGGCUACAACAGGUGAGUGUUGUAGCACUUAGCUAUUAUACAUGACAAACAAUCCCCAAACUUAAUACUCUGUAAAACUUGUAGUAGAAACAUAGUUACAGAAACAUGCUAUUCUGUUAUUUGGCUGAGCAGUUCUGCUGGCCACUUCCUGGGGACACUCAUUAGAGUUUAACUGCAGCCAGAUAGUCAGGUGGCCUCACUUGACUGGAGUGUUGGCUGUGGGGUCCAGGCUCCCUGUGGCCUCUCCAGCAGGCCAUCUGGGCUCCUGGUGACCAAGUGCUAGGCAGGCAGCACUCAUCCCACCCCCCUGUGCUUCACAGUUGUGGUAUCCCACUGCUCAGUGAUGUGAGCAGGCCCAGGGUCUUGUAGGGAGGGCUGCACAGGUGAUGGUGGAUCCUGGAAGAUGAAGCGACCUUGCAUGGAGAGUAUCCCUGAGGAAGACCGAUGUGUUCUGUGCCCACGGAGGGCAGACAUGGCAGAUUCAAGGCAUCCAGAGGACCUGUUGGCCAGAAGAGAAAACCGAGGCUCAGAGAAGCAAGACAGCCCAGGGUCGAGGCCCAUGCCCGGAAGCACCAAGAUUCACACCCAGACCCUCUGACCCCUCCACAUGGUCCUCGGCCCAGGCGCCUCAUGGGACAACUCUAUACCUCUCAGACUCCUUCCUCACUGCCUAACCUGACCAGAGCUGGGCCCCUGGGUACCACCUUGUGCAACCCAGAGGGAUUAAAGACCAAGCCAGUGGGGACAACACAGACCUGUUCCUGCUGAAACCUCCAGGCCCAGCUAAAAUCAUCCCAAGACAUGCCUUUUCUUCCUACACUCUUAUCUGCUCUUGGAUCAAUAAUUGCCCCCAUGAUAAUCCUGAUUAUGUGUCCACUGUGUGUGGUAUGCUCCUCAUGAGUUCUCUCCUUUCAUUCUCAGACAACCUCUUGAGGCAGGUAGCACCCCAAAAUACAGAUGGGAAAUGACAGGCUCCAAGAGAUGGUGUGACUUGUGUCAGGUCAUGCAGUUUGAGAGCAGACCUGGGCUCUUAAGCCUCCUAGUUUGGUCUUAGCCCUGCCUCUGACAUGCUGUGUGAUGUGGGGCCUGGUGCUGGCCCUCUCUAGUUCUCCCUUUCUCCAUCUGGACAAGGAAAGCUGUACUGAGCAUGUUCUAUAGGCUGAGAGAGGGAAGAAGAGGAGAAUGGAAAGCAGGAAAUAAAUGUGACCUAAUUGGA